rnacentral:rRNA from 2 species
ACUCUCGUUAGAUUGAAGAAGCUUGCUUCUGAUUGAUAACAUUUGAGUGAGUGGCGGACGGGUGAGUAACACGUGGGUAACCUGCCCUAAAGUGGGGGAUAACAUUUGGAAACAGAUGCUAAUACCGCAUAAAACCUAGCACCGCAUGGUGCAAGGUUGAAAGAUGGUUUCGGCUAUCACUUUAGGAUGGACCCGCGGUGCAUUAGUUAGUUGGUGAGGUAAAGGCUCACCAAGACCGUGAUGCAUAGCCGACCUGAGAGGGUAAUCGGCCACACUGGGACUGAGACACGGCCCAGACUCCUACGGGAGGCAGCAGUAGGGAAUCUUCCACAAUGGACGAAAGUCUGAUGGAGCAACGCCGCGUGAGUGAAGAAGGUUUUCGGAUCGUAAAACUCUGUUGUUGGAGAAGAACGUAUUUGAUAGUAACUGAUCAGGUAGUGACGGUAUCCAACCAGAAAGCCACGGCUAACUACGUGCCAGCAGCCGCGGUAAUACGUAGGUGGCAAGCGUUGUCCGGAUUUAUUGGGCGUAAAGCGAGCGCAGGCGGUUUCUUAAGUCUGAUGUGAAAGCCUUCGGCUCAACCGAAGAAGUGCAUCGGAAACUGGGAAACUUGAGUGCAGAAGAGGACAGUGGAACUCCAUGUGUAGCGGUGAAAUGCGUAGAUAUAUGGAAGAACACCAGUGGCGAAGGCGGCUGUCUGGUCUGUAACUGACGCUGAGGCUCGAAAGCAUGGGUAGCAAACAGGAUUAGAUACCCUGGUAGUCCAUGCCGUAACGAUGAGUGCUAGGUGUUGGAGGGUUUCCGCCCUUCAGUGCCGCAGCUAACGCAUUAAGCACUCCGCCUGGGGAGUACGACCGCAAGGUUGAAACUCAAAGGAAUUGACGGGGGCCCGCACAAGCGGUGGAGCAUGUGGUUUAAUUCGAAGCAACGCGAAGAACCUUACCAGGUCUUGACAUCCUUUGACCACUCUAGAGAUAGAGCUUUCCCUUCGGGGACAAAGUGACAGGUGGUGCAUGGUUGUCGUCAGCUCGUGUCGUGAGAUGUUGGGUUAAGUCCCGCAACGAGCGCAACCCUUAUUACUAGUUGCCAGCAUUUAGUUGGGCACUCUAGUGAGACUGCCGGUGACAAACCGGAGGAAGGUGGGGACGACGUCAAAUCAUCAUGCCCCUUAUGACCUGGGCUACACACGUGCUACAAUGGAUGGUACAACGAGUCGCGAGACCGCGAGGUUUAGCUAAUCUCUUAAAACCAUUCUCAGUUCGGAUUGUAGGCUGCAACUCGCCUACAUGAAGCCGGAAUCGCUAGUAAUCGCGGAUCAGCAUGCCGCGGUGAAUACGUUCCCGGGCCUUGUACACACC